rnacentral:rRNA from 1 species
UGGGGAAUUUUGGACAAUGGGGGAAACCCUGAUCCAGCCAUCCCGCGUGUGCGAUGAAGGCCUUCGGGUUGUAAAGCACUUUUGUCCGGAAAGAAAUCCUUGGCUCUAAUACAGUCGGGGGAUGACGGUACCGGAAGAAUAAGCACCGGCUAACUACGUGCCAGCAGCCGCGGUAAUACGUAGGGUGCAAGCGUUAAUCGGAAUUACUGGGCGUAAAGCGUGCGCAGGCGGUUUGCUAAGACCGAUGUGAAAUCCCCGGGCUCAACCUGGGAACUGCAUUGGUGACUGGCAGGCUAGAGUAUGGCAGAGGGGGGUAGAAUUCCACGUGUAGCAGUGAAAUGCGUAGAGAUGUGGAGGAAUACCGAUGGCGAAGGCAGCCCCCUGGGCCAAAUACUGACGCUCAUGCACGAAAGCGUGGGGAGCAAACAGGAUUAGAUACCCUGGUAGUCCAGCGCCCUAAACGAUGUCAACUAGUUGUUGGGGAUUCAUUUCCUUAGUAACGUAGCUAACGCGUGAAGUUGACCGCCUGGGGAGUACGGUCGUCAAGAUUAAAACUCAAAGGAAUUGACGGGGUCAUAGCUGUUUCCU